UUCCCCUAGUAACGGCGAGUGAAGCGGGAAUAGCUCAAACUUAAAAUCUCUGUUGCGUGCAACAGCGAAUUGUAGUCUCGAGAAGCGUUUUCAAGGCGGAUACCCGGUGCUCAAGUUGCUUGGAAUGGCACACCACAGAAGGUGACAGUCCUGUAUGCGGCACUGGGUUCUGUUCACGAUGCGCUUUCUAUGAGUCGGGUUGCUUGGGAGUGCAGCCCAAAAUGGGUCGUAAACUCGAUCUAAAGCUAAACAUGGGCACGAGACCGAUAGCGAACAAGUACCGUGAGGGAAAGAUGAAAAGAACUUUGAAAAGAAAGUUAAAUAGUACGUGAAACCGUUAGAGGGGAAGCGCAUGGAAUUAGCAAUGCUCUGUCGAGAUUCAGAUGGUUGGUUCGUGAAACGGUAGUCGUACAGAUCCGAAUGGACUGUUGAUUGCCGUCUUUGCGUUCUGUCUGUCGCACUUCCCGGCUGGGCGUGUCAACAGCUGUUGGUGACGAGCAAUAAGCCUCGCGGGAAGGUAGCCCGUCCUUCGGGAUUGGUGUUAUAGACCGUGGUGGUUGGCUCGUUGUCGACAGAGGCGUCGCAGCACAUGCCUUCGGGCAGGCUUCUCUGCUGUCAGUUGGUCGUCGACUAUAGAGGACUGCGUGCAGUGCUCUUGAACUGCUGCCGGCUGUCGUGUAGAUGUUUGCCUAUGUGCUUAGGUUGUUGGCGAUCAUAUGAUUUCAUGCGACCCGUCUUGAAACACGGACCAAGGAGUCUAACAUGUGUGCGAGUCUUCGGGUGAUUGAAACCCAUGGGCAUAAUGAAAGUGAAGGCUGCUUGCAGCUGAAGUGAGAUCCCUCUCUCUCGGGAGGGGGCGCAUCAUUGACCGACUUAUUCUACUCCUAGAAAGGUUUGAGUAAGAGCACAUCUGUUGGGACCCGAAAGAUGGUGAACUAUGCUUGAGUAGGGCGAAGCCAGAG
rnacentral:rRNA from 1 species